UACGUAGGGGGCAAGCGUUGUCCGGAAUCAUUGGGCGUAAAGAGCGUGUAGGCGGCCCGGUAAGUCCGCUGUGAAAGUCCAGGGCUCAACCCUGGGAUGCCGGUGGAUACUGUCGGGCUCGAGUCCGGAAGAGGAGUGUGGAAUUCCUGGUGUAGCGGUGAAAUGCGCAGAUAUCAGGAGGAACACCAAUGGCGAAGGCAGCACUCUGGGUCAAGACUGACGCUCAUGCACGAAAGCGUGGGAGC
rnacentral:rRNA from 1 species